rnacentral:rRNA from 1 species
UACGUAGGGUCCGAGCGUUGUCCGGAAUCAUUGGGCGUAAAGGGCGCGUAGGUGGCCCGGUCAGUUCGUGGUGAAAGCGCGGGGCUCAACCCUGCGUCGGCCAUGAAUACUGCCGCGGCUGGAGCACUGUAGAGGCAGGCGGAAUUCCGGGUGUAGCGGUGGAAUGCGUAGAGAUCCGGAAGAACACCGGUGGCGAAGGCGGCCUGCUGGGCAGUGCUGACACUGAGGCGCGACACGUGGGGAGCAACAGG